rnacentral:lncRNA from 1 species
UACUAUAUUACUUAUUGACCACGUACACUCGCGUGUUUUGCGCGUAUUAAUUUACCCAACAAGUUUUUUGGCGCUGUUGCCGGGGACAAUUUGGCCGAGAUUUUAAAUAUUUUUACGAUAUCAGUUUAAUUAGUCCAGUUUUACUUAAACAGUUUUUGUUUUUGUUUUUCCUAUUUCAAGUUUUCGACAUUGGUUUAUGCAAACACGAUCUAAACAUCCAGAUUUGCUUCCUUUUGAGGACGACAUUGAAAGGAAAUUUCAGAGGUUAAG